UACGGAGGGUGCAAGCGUUGUCCGGGAUCACUGGGCGUAAAGGGCGCGUAGGCGGCUCAUGAAGGCUGUGGUGAAAGUCCGGGGCUCAACCUCGGAUCGGCCGUGGCGACUCGUGGGCUGGAGCACUGUAGAGGCGGGUGGAAUUCCGGGUGUAGCGGUGGAAUGCGUAGAGAUCCGGAAGAACACCAGUGGCGAAGGCGGCCCGCUGGGCAGUGGCUGACGCUGAGGCGCGACAGCGUGGGGAGCAAACAGG
rnacentral:rRNA from 1 species